UACGGGGGGGGCAAGCGUUGUUCGGAAUUACUGGGCGUAAAGGGCUCGUAGGUGGCCAACUAAGUCAGACGUGAAAUCCCUCGGCUUAACCGGGGAACUGCGUCUGAUACUGGAUGGCUUGAGUUUGGGAGAGGAAUGCGGAAUUCCAGGUGUAGCGGUGAAAUGCGUAGAUAUCAGGAGGAACACCGGUGGUGUAGACGGCUUUCUGGACCGUAACUGACGCUGAGACACGAAAGCGUGGGUAGCAAACAGG
rnacentral:rRNA from 1 species